rnacentral:rRNA from 1 species
UACGUAGGUGACCAGCGUUGUCCGGAUUUACUGGGCGUAAAGAGCGCGCAGGCGGUCGUUCAAGUCGAGUGUGAAAGCCCCCGGCUCAACUGGGGAGGGUCAUUCGAUACUGAUCGACUUGAAGGCAGGAGAGGGAAGCGGAAUUCCCGGUGUAGUGGUGAAAUGCGUAGAUAUCGGGAGGAACACCAGUGGCGAAGGCGAAUCCCUGGAAAAUACCUGACACUGAGGCACGAAAGCUAGGGGAGCAAACAGG